AAAUGCUUCCAUACAGUUUCACUACGUGAAAAUUUUGAAUUCUUGCAUUUCCGACAAGGUCAUAACAUCUUACUGCUUUCCUGCGUGAGCGGUGUAGAGCCCGCCUGGUACAUGAAUGUCUCUAGCCCGCUCAGAAAUGCAUUCGCCACUCUCCCUUCCGAAUCUUUAUGGGAAUACAUCCAACUCCUUAACUCAUAAAUAUUACCGCCAUCCGCCAUUUUUUUUUAAAAAAAUUGGGAAUUUUUGGGGGGAAUUUUUUUUUUUAGAAUUUUUUUGGGGAAUUUUUUUGGAAAUUUUUUUUGGGAAAUUUUUUUUCCUCAGAUUUUUUUUUCUUUGUUUUCGUUUGUGAGUUGUGAGAAAUGAAAUAUAUAUAGAAAAAUUUUCGAGUUUGGCAGGUGAAGAUAACAAGGAUUUUACUAGGAAUAUUUUACUAGGGUUUUACAUCUCUCUUACAUCUGCUUUACAACGAGUUUACAACGAAAUUAGGAAAUUCAAAGCGCAUUCAAUACACUUUUUCACCAAUAAAUAACGGUAACAUGUGUCGUCGUAAUAUCCUCAUAAAUUUACGACGAAUAUUGGUUGCCAUGUACCUUCGUCGUAAAUUUACAAGGUAUUUACGACAAAACAUUUUCAUUGUAAUUUUACGUCGUCUUUACGACGAAUUUCAGUUUCGUCGUAACAUUCUCGUAAACUACUUGUAAGUUUACGAAGAAAAUCUCGUUACGGAAACGUUUUCUUAUAGUGGUAUCAAAACAUUAAAUUUAUUUAAUAUUUUAUUUUAAUUCUAAAAAACCAAUAAAACUCAUUUUGUUAUUGACAGUUUAUCUAUAAUUAUAUUAAUAUAUGUGUAUAAAAUAUAAAAAAAACAUUAAAAAUUGGGAUCCCACAAAGUGGGGUUCCAUUCAAAUGUUUCGUACGUAUGCCCACAAGCCCGGCUCUCGGUAUUGUUUUUAACCACAAAAUCAUGGUCGAGUGGUACGGUGGGAUUAGAAAGAUAUUUAGCCUCAGGUUCGAAACAUACCAAAUUCAGAUUAACUCGUUUGUGUGAUCAUGAAAUAUGGGUAUGGAACUCCCAUUUCGAGCAACCGGGUCUAUCUGGUCCCGGUAGACAAACCACCAUGGAAUUAGUUGGUUGGGUUUCAGUCUGUCAGAUAUUCCUGGCUUAUAAAAAAAUACUCCCUUCGUUCCUUAAAAUUACAUAUUCUAGAGAAAAAUUUUGUUUCAAAAAGAUCCAUCUUUUAUAUUUUCAAUGCAUAUUUUAUUAACUAAUUGCAAACUUAAAAAAACUUAAUUUCACUAGUUAAAUUUUUAUUGUCUUAAAAUUAUGGAAAAAAGAUAAACGCAAAAACUAUGUAAAUUUAAUGUGUUUUAUUAAGAUGUGUAAAAAAUUUAGAAUAUAUAACUUUAAGGAACAGAGAGAGUAUUUUCUACGUAGGAACAAAAAUAUGUUAAAGCAAAGGUAAUAGACUAAUGGGGUUUAGUGGAAUUAACUUCUCCUAACUAUUAGAUUACCAAACCGGUUUGGUAUGUUGCCAAAUCAUAUGGCCACAUCAUAGAAACAAACCAACACGAGUUCUUUUUGUUUUCAAGAUUAAAUGUAUUUCUAUUUUAUAACUAACUUAUGAUAAAUGGAUGGAUCAUAUCUUUUAUACCUUUAUAUGUGAGACGUUAUCAUAUUUUUGUCUAUCUUAAGCACACAAUCCCAUAUUUUGCAACACUAGUUCUUCAUUUUUCACAUUGUGAUUUUCCGGCACUCUAAAUACUUUCACAGUCAUCUUCAAAGACAGUUACACACUAUUCAUAUCUAUUUCCCAUGCAUAGUAAAUGUCGCAUUCUUCGUUAGAUAAUUUGUACUUUAAGUGAAAUUCCAACACGUCAAGCCAAAUUAAAAAAUAUAGAAAACUAGUAUCACUGCAUUUUCUGGUCCGUAAUCUGCACUUGCUAAUACCAAUAACUAGUGGUGAAUCGAAGAUACUUAUUUAUUCGGCACACUAAAAUAGAAUAAUGGGAUUAGGAUAAAUAUAGACUCUUAUAUAUGUCUAAGGGAAUUUAGACUAAUCAGAACAUCAUUAUCCCAGCAAUCAUGAAAAGUUGCUUAAAUUUUUUUUUUUUCUAUUUGAAUAAAAAAAGAAAAAAAUUAAAAAGUGCACCAAUCGCGGACCGCCAUGUGUUGGUGGAGACCGCGACCAGUACAAACAACAAAAAAAACUGGAUGCUUAUUUGCAUGCGGAAGAGAUGUUGCUUGUGCUUUUGGUGGGGCCCCAGGCUAUAAGCAACCUUUUUUUAAAAGGGAUAAUGAUGCUCUCAUGUAUUUUCUAUUGCUAGUUAGGUUAUGCUAAAUAUGUAUUUUCUAUUGCUUAGUUAGGUUAUGCUAAAUAUGUUGUAUAUAUACACACCUUGGUUGAGAUUACACAAUUCCACAUACGAUGUUAUAUAAAAAAUCAAACAACUAAUAAAAUGGGAAUAUGAGUCCCAGUUAGGCCAUCCACGUAGGAUUGGAAAAUCAACCUAUCAGAAAGGUUGUCUUUGUCCACGUCACACACGGAAAAAAAAGUCUCCAAUUUCUUAUUUUUCUUCUAAAAUUAAUGUAUGUCAUUAAUUAAAUAUUAAAUACCUAAAAUUGAUGUAGUUCCCUUCAUAUUCCAAAGGAAUCGGGAUAGUAUAUCUGAGAAGGAGCAUUUUGAUUAUUAUCAUUCUUAUCAUUUUGGAUGUCCUCAAUGUCACUGGUAAGUCUUUCUCUCUCUCUCUCUCUCUCUCUCUUAAGCGACAGUUUCACCGGAGAAAAUUGAAAAGACCGAUUAAUUGAUUAAUUUUGUGUCCUUUUUCAUCCUGAGAGGACGAAGUUCUUCCGUCGAAUGCCGCUUCGAUUUGCGAAACUGCAUAUCUGACUCGAUCCAAGAAAAUCCGGAGCAGAGUCAUUGGAAACAUCACUCCCUGUUACGCUUCCUCUCGAUUCAUAAGCAGGUGUACAUGCAAAUCAUCAGCAAAUCCCUGAUACAGAUAUUUUAGGAGAGGCUGGUGUUACCGUCUACGCUCGAUGAUGUUGACGACAAGAAGACUCAUUUGUUGUUAAAAACAAAUAUUGGUUGUAACUCAGAUAAAAUGGAUAGUGGUUAGUGGAGAUGACACGUUAGAGCUACACGAGCGUCGAAAAUCUGAAGAAAAUUUCCACAGCCCAAGCUUCUGUCAAUUAUGGAGGUAACAGUGGUAGGUAUAUAUGCCAGAUGGCGUCAGCCUCUGAAACAUUAUCUACGAUACUUCAGUUUGUGCUGUAUAACAUAUAAUUUGAUUUCUCAUGUGCAGUAUCCUAUUCAGAUUCCAAACUACAGAAACACACUAUGUGAAAAGGUAUAUACUGAUGACUGGGUAUCUGUUACAUAAGAGUGAGGAUGUUUAACUCAUACAUAUUAGAUUCCUCGAAAUUCUUACUAUAUCUCGAUUAGGAAUAUUCCAAUAACAUUUGUGAGAUCAUGAAUGUUUUUAUCCGAUUGAGUCUUUCCUUGUAAUUUAACUAAGUUUUUGAAAUUUAUGUUAAUACAUGUGUUUGUUUUUUGCCUAACAAUCUAUUUCCCAAACAAAUUUUAAUUCCAUCUGAUCUAUUAAUUUCCUAAUAUGGUUUCAGGUUUUAGUUAGACAUGUUACUAGAGUCUGUGAAUACAGAAAUUAAGCCUGUGGAAGCUUUUUUGCAGACGAUCAGCAACAACACCAUCUCAUAAAGACACCAAUUAGUAUAAAAAAAAACACUUAUCAGGGAAAAAGUUACUUGAUCAUAUCCUUUGGUGCUAUUUAUAUGUGAUGAUUUAAUAGUGCUGAACGUUAUUUAUGAUGAUUUAUAUGUGCUGAACGAUACUUGAUCAAAAGUUACUUAAUGCAUUUAUAUGUGAUGAUUUAAUAGUGCUGAACGUAAGGUGCGUUGAGCGGAUGUGCGGGUAUCGUGGGCUUGACGUUAUGGAGUUUCUGAGAAGAAUUGUCAUAUCGCCUCAUCGGUGAUACUAACUCACUUGAAGAACACAGGACAAAGUGUCGCUCUGAUUUGAGGAAAGAAUGGCCUGUCUAUGCUAAGAAUCAUCACAAAUCACUGAGAUCACCUAAGUUUCUAUUUCAAGCAGUAGGACUCCAAAAUUCUAAGCACAAACGGUAGUUUUUUUACAAAUUUUCACUCCAAAUAACGUUAUCUAAGUCCUAAUUACCUACCUAAAUUUGGUUUGUCGAAAACCAUCGUUUCUUUGCUGCAUUUUAAGCUAUAUAGAAUAGUCCUUCAUAUAAAGGCCUGUUGAUUGCAAGUCUUUAAGAAAAAUGUGACAAAACAAAAACGGCCUAUUGAUUGUAAGUCUUUACGAAAAUAUGAAAAACAAAGAGAAUUUCUUGGAUUAUUUUAAAGAGAAGUUUGCAUAUGAUCAAUCUGGCAACUAAACAAAGACACUUACAACUUAUGAUAAAGAAAAUGAAUAUAGUAAAAUGAAAUCUAACAAAAAACUUAAGAAGCAAGCAAAUGUUGGUUAUAAAAAAUACUGCACUAAUACAAGAAGUAACGAGUUCCUAUUCUGAUGGCAAGUAUUACAUUUCCAUCAUUGCAUAUGUCAAUCUGGAAAACCAAGAAGACCAUGAAUAACCAAAAAGAAUUGUCACACUUUGAUCUACUACAACCUCUAAACAUCAAUUACAAAGAGAACUCCGCUUAUCACAUGAUGUGAGCAUUGAUCAUGAUUGUGGAGAUGAGUUUGGUUAUAAAUAUAAGUUAUUAAAUAUAUUAUUUAAAUUUGUAUAUUACACGUGCAUGCAUGCAUCUUCAUAGCACUAGAUACUAUAAUAGUUAAUAUCUCUAUAAUGUGUUAGAGAUAUUUAAUAAAAUAGCAAAGAAGAGAAGAGAACCCUAGAUAAAUAUAUUAUUUAUAUAAAU